CGCUAUCAUCCUACGGGAGGCAGCAGUGGGGAAUAUUGCACAAUGGGCGCAAGCCUGAUGCAGCCAUGCCGCGUGUGUGAAGAAGGCCUUCGGGUUGUAAAGCACUUUCAGUCGUGAGGAAGGUAGUGUAGUUAAUAGCUGCAUUAUUUGACGUUAGCGACAGAAGAAGCACCGGCUAACUCCGUGCCAGCAGCCGCGGUAAUACGGAGGGUGCGAGCGUUAAUCGGAAUUACUGGGCGUAAAAGCGCAUGCAGGUGGUUUGUUAAGUCAGAUGUGAAAGCCCCGGGGCUCAACCUCGGAAUAGCAUUUGAAACUGGCAGACUAGAGUACUGUAGAGGGGGUAGAAUUUCAGGUGUAGCGGUGAAAAUGCGUAGAGAUCUGAAGGAAUACCGGUGGCGAAGGCGGCCCCCUGGACAGAUACUGACACUCAGAUGCGAAAGCGUGGGGAGCAAACAGGAUUAGAUACCCUGGUAG
rnacentral:rRNA from 1 species